rnacentral:sRNA from 1 species
UAGUAUGAAAAUAGCUGACCA